AUGAACGCUAGCUACAGGCUUAACACAUGCAAGUCGAGGGGCAGCAUUUUAGUUUGCUUGCAAACUAAAGAUGGCGACCGGCGCACGGGUGAGUAACACGUAUCCAACCUGCCGAUAACUCGGGGAUAGCCUUUCGAAAGAAAGAUUAAUAUCCGAUAGUAUAUUAAAACCGCAUGGUUUUACUAUUAAAGAAUUUCGGUUAUCGAUGGGGAUGCGUUCCAUUAGUUUGUUGGCGGGGUAACGGCCCACCAAGACUACGAUGGAUAGGGGUUCUGAGAGGAAGGUCCCCCACAUUGGAACUGAGACACGGUCCAAACUCCUACGGGAGGCAGCAGUGAGGAAUAUUGGUCAAUGGACGAGAGUCUGAACCAGCCAAGUAGCGUGAAGGAUGACUGCCCUAUGGGUUGUAAACUUCUUUUAUAUGGGAAUAAAGUAUUCCACGUGUGGAAUUUUGUAUGUACCAUAUGAAUAAGGAUCGGCUAACUCCGUGCCAGCAGCCGCGGUAAUACGGAGGAUCCGAGCGUUAUCCGGAUUUAUUGGGUUUAAAGGGAGCGUAGGUGGAUUGUUAAGUCAGUUGUGAAAGUUUGCGGCUCAACCGUAAAAUUGCAGUAGGUACUGGGUGUCUUGAGUACAGUAGAGGUGGGCGGAAUUCGUGGUGUAGCGGUGAAAUGCUUAGAUAUCACGAAGAACUCCGAUUGCGAAGGCAGCUCACUAGACUGCAACUGACACUGAUGCUCGAAAGUGUGGGUAUCAAACAGGAUUAGAUACCCUGGUAGUCCACACAGUAAACGAUGAAUACUCGCUGUUUGCGAUAUACAGUAAGCGGCCAAGCGAAAGCAUUAAGUAUUCCACCUGGGGAGUACGCCGGCAACGGUGAAACUCAAAGGAAUUGACGGGGGCCCGCACAAGCGGAGGAACAUGUGGUUUAAUUCGAUGAUACGCGAGGAACCUUACCCGGGCUUAAAUUGCAUUUGAAUAAUCUGGAAACAGGUUAGCCGCAAGGCAAAUGUGAAGGUGCUGCAUGGUUGUCGUCAGCUCGUGUCGUGAGAUGUUGGGUUAAGUCCCGCAACGAGCGCAACCCUUAUCUUUAGUUACUAACAGGUCAUGCUGAGGACUCUAGAGAGACUGCCGUCGUAAGAUGUGAGGAAGGUGGGGAUGACGUCAAAUCAGCACGGCCCUUACGUCCGGGGCUACACACGUGUUACAAUGGGGGGUACAGAAGGCAGCUACCUGGCGACAGGAUGCUAAUCCCAAAAACCUCUCUCAGUUCGGAUCGAAGUCUGCAACCCGACUUCGUGAAGCUGGAUUCGCUAGUAAUCGCGCAUCAGCCAUGGCGCGGUGAAUACGUUCCCGGGCCUUGUACACACCGCCCGUCAAGCCAUGAAAGCCGGGGGUACCUGAAGUACGUAACCGCAAGGAGCGUCCUAGGGUAAAACUGGUAAUUGGGGCU
rnacentral:rRNA from 1 species